UGCUUCAUAUAGCUUCUGAGGCACUAAAAAAACAAAUUGGAAUAAUACGGAGAAGAUUAGCAUGGCCCCAGCACAAGGAUAAAAAAAACCCAACAACAAAUUCAUGCCCUU
rfam:Xenopus laevis strain J chromosome 9_10S, whole genome shotgun sequence.